AACGGAACUUGAGAGGGCGUUGCUCUCUUAAGUUAGUAGCGGACGGGUGAGUAACACGUGAGCAACCUAGCCUUUAAGUAGUGGGAGUAACGUCGGAAACGACCGCUAAUACCGCAUAACAUACACGAACGCAUGGUUUGUGUAUCAAAGAUUUAUCGCUUAAGAUGGGCUCGCGUCUGAUUAGCUUGUUGGUUGAGGUAACGGCUCACCAAGGCGACGAUCAGUAGCCGUACUGAGAGGUAGAACGGCCACAUUGGGACUGAGACACGGCCCAGACUCCUACGGGAGGCAGCAGUGGGGAAUAUUGCACAAUGGAGGAAACUCUGAUGCAGCGAUGCCGCGUGAGGGAAGAGGGUUUUCGGAUUGUAAACCUCUGUCUUAAGGGACGAUAAUGACGGUACCUUAGGAGGAAGCUCCGGCUAACUACGUG
rnacentral:rRNA from 1 species